UCAGCAUAUUAAAAUCAUUUAUUGUGCUCCAGAAGAGUAAUUACUAUUUAACCAGAAAGAAAGACAAGUGACAAAUAAUCUACAAUACAAAUGCCAGACCUGCUCACAUAGUUCCCCCUGUUUCACAUGGCAUUCAAAGAACAAGUCCACCUUUAGUUUGCAGACUGCCAGCAAAAACCUCUCAGGAUGAAUCUGAGGUUUGAUUGUUGUUGUUUCUGCUGCGAUUUGAGGUCAGAAAAUGGCACGUUGCGUUACAUUCAUUCGCAGUGCUCGUUCAUCUCUCUGUCUCUCCCCCCUCCCCGCCCCCCAAACACUACAACACAGGCUGACUGUUGACCACGGUCAGGGUAGAUUUACACAGGAACAAAAGUGAAGCAUCCCCCUAGAACAGGGUUUUUUUUAAGCGUAUUCAGUCCCGAACUGUGUGGAUUUAUACUCACCCUGCUAGACUGGCUCAUUAAAACAUACUGGUGUUGGGAUUUAAAAGAAAAUGACUGAAGAAAUGCUACCUGGAUUGGUUCGGAGCUUCCCCUUUAUGAAGGAUGGACACACGUUUUUAAAGGAGGGUGACACCGGAUGGGAGUCAUUAAACCCUGGGGCAUUCUCAGACUGUUAUCUUACAUCUGCUGUUUGGAUGUGAACGCUGUUCUAAAUGUGUGCUAUUACAAGCGAAAAGCAAAUAAAUCCAAAUUCAAGUCUUAUUCAGGACAAGCCAGACACCAUAUGACACGAAAUAAAGAGAAUAUUUGAAAAUCCUAACACAGAAACGGAAAUUAGGCACAUUGCAGAAAGAAACCCUAAUGGAUAUGAUGUUUACAAGCCUCAGUCACUGGCAAAAACAAUAUCAGCAUAUGAAUUCCCUUGUAAAUGCACUCAGUAAGGAGUGACAGAUUUUUGCAGGCCAUGUGUUUUUUUAAAGUUUACAACUACUCCAUGAAUCCUGUGGUUUUUUUUUGUUGUUUUUUUUUGUUGUUUUUUUUUUUUGAAAGUGUUUCACCAAACGCACAUGGAAACACACUGCUGCUCAUGCAUGCUGCACCCACUCAGUGUCCUCAAUGUGACCGCAAAGGCUUGAGGAAAUAACAGAAUUUUCACGGUCUAACAAAGAUGAAUUCAAUCAUGAACCAGAAACUGAAUUAGAAAAAGGUGACAAAAUAGAAAGUGUGUCCAAGUUUUUAUGGUACACCAAACUUAAACAAAAGGCAUACUUUUCCCCUCAGAAAAAGAAAAACCCAAAACAAAAUGAAACAAAAAACUCCUUGUGUUCCCUGUAAAUCUGCCACAGAAUAUAAAGUGUAAAAGCAGCAAUUCAAUUUUAGCUUCUUUUCAUAUUUUAUUUGCCCGUUUAACUAUCCAGUCAGGUUUUAAGGUUAUUAGUUCCUAGUUUAAAGGCCUAAUGAUUCCUCUGUCAAAGGAUAGGUGUGACUUGCCCUGCAUUUAAAAAGAGCUGUUAAAAGAAUCCAUCGUGCUGGUUACAGUGGAGAGUUUUAGUAUGUUGUGAUGGUGUAAAUGCAGAUCCCAGUUACCCGAGAAUAAGUCCUGCAAAACACUAAAUACCUGGUAAACAAUAACUUUUGGCAGCUUAAAAACAAUUAGCUCUAUUUUUCAUUUCACUCUGUGAUGGAAAUAGUAAAUGCAUAGGCUCCAGAUAACAUCUGUCACAGAUUUAAGAUCUUGUUUCACUUGGCCAACAAAAACAGCUGAUACAUAUUUAGUGUGAU
ensembl:lncRNA